rnacentral:rRNA from 1 species
UCAUGCAAGUCGAGCGCGGGAAGCGAACGGAACUCUUCGGAGGGAAGUUCGUGGAACGAGCGGCGGACGGGUGAGUAACACGUAGGCAACCUGCCUGUAAGACUGGGAUAACUCGCGGAAACGCGAGCUAAUACCGGAUAACACUUUCUAUCACCUGAUGGAAAGUUGAAAGGCGGCUUUUGCUGUCACUUACAGAUGGGCCUGCGGCGCAUUAGCUAGUUGGUGAGGUAACGGCUCACCAAGGCGACGAUGCGUAGCCGACCUGAGAGGGUGAUCGGCCACACUGGGACUGAGACACGGCCCAGACUCCUACGGGAGGCAGCAGUAGGGAAUCUUCCGCAAUGGACGAAAGUCUGACGGAGCAACGCCGCGUGAGUGAUGAAGGUUUUCGGAUCGUAAAACUCUGUUGUCAGGGAAGAACAAGUACGAUAGUAACUGAUCGUACCUUGACGGUACCUGACCAGAAAGCCACGGCUAACUACGUGCCAGCAGCCGCGGUAAUACGUAGGUGGCAAGCGUUGUCCGGAAUUAUUGGGCGUAAAGCGCUCGCAGGCGGUUCUUUAAGUCUGAUGUGAAAUCUUGCGGCUCAACCGCAAACGUGCAUUGGAAACUGGAGGACUUGAGUGCAGAAGAGGAGAGUGGAAUUCCACGUGUAGCGGUGAAAUGCGUAGAGAUGUGGAGGAACACCAGUGGCGAAGGCGACUCUCUGGUCUGUAACUGACGCUGAGGAGCGAAAGCGU